GUCCGCGGCCCGGCGUCCGAGGAGCUGAUGCGAUGCUCACGCCCACGGGCGUGGCUGUUAACUCUACACCUGCAUCUCAUCCCAGGCGAUUAUCAGGUGGACUACUUGAUCCAGCCCAGCCUGCUGCUCCACGCCAGUCCGUAAUCGUCUCACAGCGAUAACUGCUCGGCGUGUUUUUGAGCCACCUGCCUGUCCACCUGCCCGCCUGGAGUUUUUUGAUCACCUUCAGUAUCCCUCACUUUGCCUUCCCUGGAGCUCCCCGCGGACCUUCACCCCUCCCUCCGGCUCUCACGGCCCCGCUUUGACUCCUCCCUCAGUCCCGUUUUCGGCGUUCCUGCGCGACUCUUCUCCCGGUGCCUUGGUUUCUCUAGUUUCACGUGUGUUUUCCUUGACCCUCCCGGGACACCUUUAGUUAGAAUAAAGUUUAUUUUCUCGUACUCCUGCGUGUGUGUUGGCUCUGCUUCUGGGUUCAGCUUGUGCACUGAA